rnacentral:lncRNA from 1 species
ACUUACACCCGACUCCCAACAAUAACAAAAAGGAAACAGAAUGCCAAUACAUGGACUUACACCCGACUCCCAACAAUAACAAAAGCUAACCGGCGAACACCAAAGAAAAAGGUUAUCAGAAUAAACCCCAACAAAGUAGCCAAAUACCCAGAAUAAAUUCCAAAUAUGGAUAAUCAGUCACCACAAAUGACCCCCAAAGAUGAACCCUAAAUGAACAACAAUCGUCA